GACGAACGCUGGCGGCGUGCUUAACACAUGCAAGUCGAACGGUGAAGCCCAGCUUGCUGGGUGGAUCAGUGGCGAACGGGUGAGUAACACGUGAGUAACCUGCCCCAGACUCUGGGAUAAGCCUUGGAAACGAGGUCUAAUACCGGAUAUGCAACGAGAUCGCAUGGUCAUCGUUGGGAAAGUUUUUCGGUCUGGGAUGGACUCGCGGCCUAUCAGCUUGUUGGUGAGGUAAUGGCUCACCAAGGCGACGACGGGUAGCCGGCCUGAGAGGGCGACCGGCCACACUGGAACUGAGACACGGUCCAGACUCCUACGGGAGGCAGCAGUGGGGAAUAUUGCACAAUGGGCGAAAGCCUGAUGCAGCGACGCCGCGUGGGGGAUGAAGGCCUUCGGGUUGUAAACCCCUUUCAGCAGGGAAGAAGCGAAAGUGACGGUACCUGCAGAAGAAGCGCCGGCUAACUACGUGCCAGCAGCCGCGGUAAU
rnacentral:rRNA from 1 species